rnacentral:rRNA from 1 species
AUGACGAUUGCUUUCACGUCUAUCGUGGCCAUUUUCAUCAUUGAAAGGGUUGAUGAUAGGGCAGGAACAAAGUCCCUUGCACCCCUUGUUAUUGCUGGUGCACUGAGCAUCCUGUACUGGAGUUUCUUUGAUGACCUUCGGCCAUCUGAGGUUAUCCUGUUUGUUCCAUGUAUUGUAAUACCUGUGAUGGCUAUAGUUAUUCCACCAAUGUAUACACAUUCAAGCUACUGGUUGUGGGCAGCAUGUUAG